rfam:Saccharothrix sp. ST-888 contig-128, whole genome shotgun sequence.
CUUGACCGAGCCGAGCCAGAGCGGCCGCCCUUCGGGACGGUCCUGGCCGUACGCCGCCAGCAGCGCCUGCGCCUC